GACGAGGGGUCCUAGCGUUGUUCGGACUCACUGGGCGUAAAGCGUUUGUAGGCGGCUUUGCAAGUCGGGUGUGAAAUCCCACGGCUCAACCGUGGAAGUGCAUUCGAAACUGCAGAGCUUGAAUAUGGAAGAGGAGAGUAGAAUUCCUGGUGUAGUGGUGAAAUACGUAGAUAUCAGGAGGAAUACCGGUGGCGAAGGCGGCUCUCUGGUCCAAUAUUGACGCUGAGAAACGAAAGUGCGGGGAUCAAACAGG
rnacentral:rRNA from 1 species